GGAAAAAAAAAAAAAAAAAAAAAAAAAAGAAUUGUAACAAAACAUAAAUCCCUGGUUGAUCCUGCCAGUAGUCAUAUGCUUGUCUCAAAGAUUAAGCCAUGCAGGUCUCAGUGCAAGCCGAAUUAAGGUGAAACCGCGAAAAGCUCAUUAAAUCAGCUAUGGUUCCUUAGAUGGUACGUACAGUUACUUGGAUAACUGUGGCAAUUCUAGAGCUAAUACAUGCAAACCGAGUUCCGACCGCUUAGCAGGCGGAAGGAAUGCUUUUAUUAGAUCAAAACCAAUCGGACUCAGACCUUAUGGGUUCGUUUAAGUCUUGGUGACUCUGAAUAACUUUGUGCUGAUCGCACGGUCCCGCACCGGCGACGCAUCUUUCAAAUGUCUGACUUAUCAACUUUCGAUGGUAAGCUCUGCGCCUACCAUGGUCGUAACGGGUAACGGGGAAUCAGGGUUCGAUUCCGGAGAGGGAGCCUGAGAAACGGCUACCACAUCCAAGGAAGGCAGCAGGCGCGCAAAUUACCCACUCCCGGCACGGGGAGGUAGUGACGAAAAAUAACGAUGCAGAACUCUUUCCGAGGCUCUGCAAUCGGAAUGAGAACACUCUAAAUCAUUUAACGAGUAUCCAUUGGAGGGCAAGUCUGGUGCCAGCAGCCGCGGUAAUUCCAGCUCCAAUAGCGUAUAUUAAAGUUGUUGCGGCUAAAAAGCUCGUAGUUGGACUUGUGUUCCGCGAUGUCGGUUCACCGCCCGUCGGUGUCUAACUGACAUGCCGCGGCACGUCCUGCCGGUUGGCGGAGCGGGGGCGGCCCCCGCGCGAGGAGAUAAGCGCGCAGGUCUUCCGAUUCGGCGGCGUGCGCUCGGUUGCGGCCGAGUAUGCUGUCGAUGAGGUUUGCGAAUUCCGUUCGGGACCUGCGGUCUCAGCCCUCUUCGGUCAUGCGGCGCCGCUUCGGCUGUCGGCCCUUCGAAAAGGGAAGCGAAGCUGACGAGGGUGGGGAGGCGGAAUCCGCGCAGCCGUCGCGGCGGUCGGGCGGGGUCGAGGUUCAGCACGUUCGCGCGUGUUUCCUCGCUUUCUCCGUGCGGCUGCGGCGGCUGGUGCGGUAACCCCCCCCUUUCUCCCUUUGUCACUUUCUUUCCGGUCGACCAGUUCGAUCCGCGUCCGUCAGUUUUUUGUCAAUCCUGUCGCGGUGCUCUUUGCCGAGUGUCGCGGCGGGCCGGCACGUUUACUUUGAACAAAUUUGAGUGCUUCAAGCAGGCCGUCGGCCGCCGGAAAAUCGUGUGCAUGGAAUAAUGGAAUAGGGCCACGGUUCUAUUUUGUUGGUUUCCGGAAUCCGAGGCAAUGAUUAAUAGGGACAGGCGGGGGCAUUAGUAUUCCGACGUUAGAGGUGAAAUUCUUGGAUCGUCGGAAGACCGACCUAAGCGAAAGCAUUCGCCAAGGAUGCUUCCUUUAAUCAAGAACGAAAGUUAGAGGUUCGAAGGCGAUCAGAUACCGCCCUAGUUCUAACCGUAAACGAUGCCAGCUAGCGAUCCGUCGAAGUUCUAACGAUGACUCGACGGGCAGCUCCCGGGAAACCAAAGCUUUUGGGUUCCGGGGGAAGUAUGGUUGCAAAGCUGAAACUUAAAGGAAUUGACGGAAGGGCACCACCAGGAGUGGAGCUUGCGGCUUAAUUUGACUCAACACGGGAAACCUCACCAGGCCCGGACACUGGAAGGAUUGACAGAUUGAGAGCUCUUUCUUGAUUCAGUGGGUGGUGGUGCAUGGCCGUUCUUAGUUGGUGGAGCGAUUUGUCUGGUUAAUUCCGAUAACGAACGAGACUCUAGCCUGUUAACUAGGCGAACACAUUUCCGGCAUCGUUAAUUCUCCUGCGGGGGAACAAAAAGCUGCCGGCGGCAUAAUUUCUUCUUAGAGGGACAGGCGGCUUCUAGCCGCACGAGAUUGAGCAAUAACAGGUCUGUGAUGCCCUUAGAUGUUCUGGGCCGCACGCGUGCUACACUGAAGGAAUCAACGUGUUUACACGUCCCGGGCCGAAAGGUCCGGGAAACCCGUUGAACCUCCUUCGUGCUAGGAAUUGGGACUUGCAAUUGUUUCCCAUGAACGAGGAAUUCCCAGUAAGCGCGAGUCAUAAGCUCGCGUUGAUUACGUCCCUGCCCUUUGUACACACCGCCCGUCGCUACUACCGAUUGAACGAUUUAGUGAGGUCUUCGGACCUGUGCGCGGGAGUCGCUU
rnacentral:rRNA from 1 species